CCGGUGACAAACCGGAGGAAGUGGGGAUGACGUCAAGUCCUCCAUGGCCCUUAUAGGUGGGGCUACACACGUCAUACAAUGGCCGGUACAGAGGGUAGCCAACCCGCGAGGGGGAGCCAAUCCCACAAAGCCGGUCGUAGUCCGGAUCGCAGUCUGCAACUCGACUGCGUGAAGUCGGAAUCGCUAGUAAUCGCGGAUCAGCAUGUCGCGGUGAAUACGUUCCCGGGUCCUU
rnacentral:rRNA from 1 species